AACACAACUCACCUGCCUGAGCGGCUUACA
rnacentral:sRNA from 1 species